rnacentral:rRNA from 1 species
CGAACGGGGUGAGUAACACGUGGGCAACCUGCCCAAAANAGGGGGAUAACACUUGGAAACAGGUGCUAAUACCGCAUAACCAUAGUUACCGCAUGGUAACUAUGUAAAAGGUGGCUAUGCUACCGCUUUUGGAUGGGCCCGCGGCGCAUUAGCUAGUUGGUGGGGUAAAGGCUUACCAAGGCAAUGAUGCGUAGCCGAACUGAGAGGUUGAUCGGCCACAUUGGGACUGAGACACGGCCCAAACUCCUACGGAAGGCAGCAG